AUACGCGAGAAACCUUACCAGGGCUUAAAUGUAGUCUGACAGGCGUGGAAACAUGCUUUUCUUCGGACAGAUUACAAGGUGCUGCAUGGCUGUCG
rnacentral:rRNA from 1 species